GGCAGCGUGUUGAGCACAUGUGGGCACGUGUGAGCAUCAUGUGGGCAAGCAAUGUGAGUAUCAUGGGUGGGCAGCGUGUGGGCAGCGUGUGGGCAGCGUGUGGGAGCAGUGGGCACGUGUGGAGCAUGUGGGCAGCGUGUUCAUGUCGUAUGUAUGCUUGGCACAUGUUUACUCAAUGUAUGUGUGGUAUGUGUACUACUCACUAGGUGAUUUGCCAUGGAAGUAUUGUAGGAUUGUGAGACAUAUGUCAGAAUACUGAGUCUGUCGGGUAUUUCAGGGCCACCAUGUCCUCCAGCAUCUAACAGAGCCUGGGAUCCCCCAACUCAUCUCCGCUACCACGGAACGCCUGGGAAACACACAGACAGAAGGCUGGAACACACGAGAAUAGAAGGCUGGAACACACAGAGAGAUAGAAGGCUAGGAGCACACAGCAGAAGGCUGGAGCACACAGACAGAAGGCUGGAGCAACACAGAGCAGAUAGAAGGCUGGGAACACGACAGAAGGCUGGAGCACACAGAGAGAUAGAAGGCUGGAGCACAACAGACAGAAGGCUGAGCACACAGAGAGAUGAAGCUGGAACACACAGAGAUAUAGAAGGCUGGAACACACAGAUAGAUAGAAGGCUGGAGCACACAGAGAGAUAGAAGGCUGGAACACACAGAGAGAUAGAAGGCUGGAACACACAGAGAGAUAGAAGGCUGGAACACAGAGAGGAUAGAAGGCUGGAGCACACAGAGAGAUGAAGGAAGGCUGGAGCACACAAGAGAUAGAAGGCUGGCCACACACAGAGAGAUAGAAGGGCUGGAGCACACAGAGAGGAGAGAAGGCUGGAACACACAGAGAGAUAGAAGGCUGGAACACACAGAUAGAUAGAAGGCUGGAGCACACAGAGAUAGAAGGCUGGAACACACAGAGAUGGAGCACACAGAGAUAGAAGGCUGAGCACACAGAGAUGAGCUGGAACACACAGAGAGAUAGAGGUGGAGCACACAGAGAUAGAAGGCUGGAACGCACAGAGACUAGAAGGCUGGGAACACACGACAGAGGCCUGGGAACACACAGAGAGAUAGAAGGCUGGAACACACAGAGAGAUAGAAGGCUGGAGCACACAAGAGAUAGAAGGUGAACACCAGAGAGUAGAAGGCUGGAGCAACAGAGAUAGAUAGAAGGGCUGGAACACACAGAGAGAUGAAGGCUUGAGCACACAGACAGAAGGCUGGAGCACACAGACAGAAGGCUGUAACAACUGGGACACAGAACAAUAAGGCAGACAAAGCGUCUUCCCCCUC
rnacentral:lncRNA from 1 species